rnacentral:rRNA from 1 species
CCCUUAGACGUUCUGGGCCGCACGCGCGCUACACUGACCAGUGCAACAAGCAUCCGUCCUUGGCCGACAGGCCCGGGCAAUCUUUGAACGCUGGUCGUGAUGGGGAUAGACUUUUGCAAUUUUUGGUCUUCAACGAGGAAUUCCUAGUAAACGCAAGUCAUCAACUUGCAUUGAUUACGUCCCUGCCCUUUGUACACACCGCCCGUCGCACCUACCGAUUGAAUGGUCCGGUGAAAUUCUCGGACGCGGACUUGCGAUGUUAAUUCGGAGCUUGACUGUGAAAGUUAAUUAAACCUUACCAUUUAAAGGAAGGUGAAGUCGUAACA